rnacentral:rRNA from 1 species
GACGAACGCUGGCGGCGUGCUUAACACAUGCAAGUCGAACGGAAAGGCCCUGCUUUUGUGGGGUGCUCGAGUGGCGAACGGGUGAGUAACACGUGAGUAACCUGCCCUUGACUUUGGGAUAACUUCAGGAAACUGGGGCUAAUACCGGAUAGGAGCUCCUGCUGCAUGGUGGGGGUUGGAAAGUUUCGGCGGUUGGGGAUGGACUCGCGGCUUAUCAGCUUGUUGGUGGGGUAGUGGCUUACCAAGGCUUUGACGGGUAGCUGGCCUGGGAGGGUGACCGGCCACAUUGGGACUGAGAUACGGCCCAGACUCCUACGGGAGGCAGCAGUGGGGAAUAUUGCACAAUGGGCGGAAGCCUGAUGCAGCAACGCCGCGUGCGGGAUGACGGCCUUCGGGUUGUAAACCGCUUUCGCCUGUGACGAAGCGUGAGUGACGGUAAUGGGUAAAGAAGCACCGGCUAACUACGUG